UGGUUAGAGCACAUCACUCAUAAUGAUGGGGUCACAGGUUCGAAUCCCGUCGUAGCCA
rnacentral:tRNA from 1 species